UUUAAUGGAGUGAUUCCUUUUAAGUGCUUCAGCAAAAUGAAGGUAAAGUUUAGGUCUCCGAGAUUAAUUUCUUAUAAGUUUUUUGCAAAAAGAUCUGAAUUACUUGAGCUUAUGCCUAAGCAUUCACUGACUAAUAGCAGAAAAAAGAGCACACUGAUCUUUGCAAAUAUGUGAACUUCACACCUGAAUUUUUUUGACUGACCAGCAUAUGGCACAAGAAACCACCACCUCAGAGCAGAAGCAGAAGCACUAUGUCUGAACUCUCUGGCCAGCUGCCAGGAAGUCUGUGCAUGAUGUUUCUGUUCUUUAUAAGGAUGAGAAUAUUAUCCAACGGAUGAAGUAGAAGAAUUGACGUGAUAAGGGUUUCUGCAAGAGAGUAAAAAUUCAAGAGAGAUGUGUUCUGGGCUUUUCUCUGCUUUCUGAUUUCUUAAUAUCAGACCUUGUUCAUCCUUAGACUUAAUGUGACAGAAAGACACUGAAAAGGAAUCGUAGCUUUUGGAAACUGAAAAAAUGGCAAUUUGUCAAAGCUUACACAAGAAAUAGCAGAACUAUGAUUCAGGCUUAGAAAAUCUGGACCUCAGCUUCCUUGCUGACCUGCAGGGUGAUAUUCUGUUCAGCAAUCCUAAUGGAUGCCUGAAAAAUGUCUCCAGUGAAUGGCUUCUGCACCUUCAUCUAACCUCUGUUUCUGUAGUGCUUCUCUGAAGAACUAACAACUUUAACACUUGACCUGACACAUAUACUGACAAUGUGAAACAGAAAGCAGAAUCAUUGGUGCAAAUUUGGACUGAGAAGUGCUGAGAAGAGACAAUUAAAUUGAAAAGGUCUAUUGACAAUGAAGCAGCCAAAUGAGUGAGCUUCCAAUGCAAUGCAGAUGUAAAUAUAAAGCAGUGAGGCCCUACGUGCACGUUGCUUAAUAAGGUUUUCUCAGCAGCUGGAAAGAUCAGAUGCAAAUGUCUUAAAUCAAAACAGUUUUGCUUCACCUAUAGCAGAAGGGGCUAUUCAGAUUAGCUAUCAAUGAGCUCCAGCAUGACGUCACCCCGAAGCACAAGAAGGCACCUUUGUGCUGGGGCCCUUCCUCUGCUGGCUCCUGCUACACAUCCCACUCCCAGCAUGGGUCCCUCCCCUACCCAGAAACACUCCCUCAUUCCCCCUGCUGAAUGCAGGGCACCUCUGUGGAGCUGGCAGAGCCCCUUGGGAGCCUGCAAGCUCCAGCAGUCUGUGGUAGAGCAAGGAGCUUCCAUCCAAACCGUGUUCAGCAGCCUUGCACCUCGGCAACCCGCAGUGGGACCUCUGCAGCCCUCUUCAUCUGCUUCAGAUGCAGUCAAACCUGAAUGCUGCUGACUGAUGAGACAGACAGAGCAACUGGGGCGACCUAAUUAUUUUCAAGGCUGGAACCCCUUUGGUGGGAUGUACAAUGGCACACGAUUUAACCUUGUUACAGUACACAACUGCUGUUAAACAAGCACAGUGAAAAAAGAUGCAUGAAGAAACUGCAAACAUAGUUUGCUGUUGUAAAAUAAUUAACAGAUUUGUUUAUAGUUGGCUUGCAUGCUUGCCUGUUUAAUAAGGCCCGUGACAGUUUUCAUGACAUGCAAGAACAAGAGAACAGACACCCAAUGCACAUCCUGGCCAAUGUUAUUUCAUUCAGAGAAAUGGGGCGGGGGCAGCUGGAAGUGGACACUACCACAGAAAACAAGUACCACUCAAUUAAACUAGAGAGAAGCCUGCACAGAAAACAUAAGUCUAUAGAAAUGGGGAAAACUGAGGGCUGAAUGUUCCCAUUAAAAAGCUGAAGUCACUCACAGUUACCCAUGACAGCAUCAGUCCCCUGUUCAUUACAGAAAUUCUGGACACGCCCCUCAUCCCUGUGCCUGCUCCUGGAAAUGGAAGCAUAUUUCACUAAAAGCUCUCAGUAUCCAAUCAGCUGAUCUUUGAUGAUGUACGUGUGCAGAAAGUACUGGUAAAGUAUGUUUUGAAUUAUGAGGAAAUGCAAUGGAUUUAGAGCUGCAAUGUGUUAUUUCUAUUUAGAUGGUGUAGAGUGGCAUAAGCUGGAACCCCUUUACACAUCCAGGGAAGGAAGCCUUCCCAGAGGAAACCUGGCUCACUUACCGUCAACAUGCCAUAGCAUUUGGAACCCACUUCUAGCAUUCAGUCCAUCAGAGUAGAACUCCACAUGAAGGCUGGUCCCUGUGGUGCUCCCUGCCAGUGGAAGAGACUGUCCACAGAAAGUGCCUAUCAGGCUGGAUUGUGCAUCAGGCCCAUCAUAGAGCUGAAAUGAAGAAAAAAAAAAAAAAAGCCAGUGAGUCAAAAGAAGCUCCCCAGUUAAGCAGCUUCCCAAUGUUUUGUACAGGAUUGAAAAAAAAACCAAAAACCAAAACAGUGACACUUCUUCCACUGGCCACCCUUGCACAGCAAUAUGAGCCUGGGGAAUGUGGAAAGAUUUGGGUAAAAUGAUGAGUAAAUACAAGGCCAAUAAGUCUUUAAACCUGGCUGUACACUGUGUGCAGUAGGAAGGGUUUGCUGUUGCUGUUUUGGUGUGUAUUGGGGGUUGCUGGGGAAGAAGAUAAAGGGCAAGUGGCAGUGAACUGAAAUAGAAAGAAAAAGAGGAUGUUGUGGGUCUGAUUUGCCCAUGCACCUAACACUGAGUGCCUCCAAACCCCUUGGUGACAACUCUGUUUAUAUCUUCAUCUGUUUAAGGCUGCAGCCAGGUGAUGUGAGGACUGCCUGGGCUUCUGAUGGAGUAAAUCAAGCAGUCAGCAUCAUGAUGGCCUCCCAGAGUAGUGAGGACAAACUGAAAACCAGAAGUAAAGUAAAUCUUCAAAAACACAAGGAGAUUUUAUGUGAGUUUAUUUAUGGUUUCAUAAUCUCAUGCUUAAGUCUUUGGAGGAAAACUGUACUGAGCCAUGCUACUGAAAUUUGAUUUCCUUGUCAUAUGCUAUGUGCUGGUAUUUUGACAAUCAGUGAUUAGUCAGAUAUAGCCAGCCCAAAAACCUUGAUGUUUUCCAAAUAUAGAUGAGGACUCUUCCAUCCCACUCUUAAAACAUUGCCACUCUUAAAAAAAUCCAAAAUCAACCAAACAAUCAAAACAACAAAAUGCUAGGGAAAUAUUUCUGUGUUUAAACAUUUAAAUGAUGUCUGAAAGCAGUCAUAUAUUCCCAACUAAAUGAAAACACCUAAUACAUAUUUUGAUGGGGUGAUAGUAGAUGCUUAGAGCUUUUUAACUUCUUUACAUUUGUUGUCUCCAGACAGGUUUAAAUAGUAUUUCAAAUUCUAGUUUUGGAAGUUCUUUCAAAUCCAGUAAAUCACACUCAACAUACCUGUGUGGUCUCACCAAAUACCCCAUACCCAAGUGUCAUUUUUCGGGCAUGAGGAAUGUAAUUUUUGCAAAGAUAGUAAAAAUGAAACAUUUUAGCUAGAUUGCCUUUGAUUUACAAUAUCAAAUUGCUGACUAUUUUCAAGGUAGGAUUUGCUUUAUUAUUUGUACCUUGGUUACUAUGAUUCUUAAAGUUUAGGAAAACAGCAACCCUUGUCCUUUGUUAUCACUUUAUGAGAGUUCAUCUGAUCUUUUGUCUUACAAAGCAUAUCUUCCUAACACAACCCAGCAAAUUACUGGCACAGAAACCAUGUCUGAACAUUCUCAUUGUGCAUUUUUGGCAUGCUUCCUUACAGAAUUUCAACAAAAACUUUUCUCUCUUCUGAAGCCAUUCCUGUUAAGUUGUCUCUGUGCAAAGAAUAAAAUCUAUGAUCUCUAGAAAAACA